UACGUAGGGGGGCGAGCGUUGUCCGGAGUUACUGGGCGUAAAGGGCGCGCAGGCGGUCUGGUAAGUUUUGGAGUGACAGUGCUCGGCUUUAACUGAGCAAGGCCUCGAAAACUGCUAGACUUGAGCACUCAAGAGGGACAUAGAAUUCCGGGUGGAGUGGUGAAAUGCGUAGAUAUCCGGAGGAAUACCAAAGGCGAAGGCAGUGUCCUGGGGGAGUGUCUGACGCUCAGGCGCGAAAAAGCUAGGGGGAGCGAACAGGG
rnacentral:rRNA from 1 species